AAUUGGGAGACGCAAACUGUGAAGAAGCUUCCUUGAACGUAUUGGGAACAAUUUUGUUGAAGGGAACACAAAAACAGAGAGUGGAUUUGAGGUUGACUUGGAUACAAAGAAUAAAAUCGAACUUUCUUCAGGAUAAAUUGGUGACACUAACCGAAGUUAAUCAGGUUAAGACAAGACAUUCAUGUACGGCUAACAACGACAUCACAACUUAAGACCAUUACUUCGAGUCAAUACAUUAAAUAUCUAUUUGUAAUCCUGUAAGACAAAAUCCUUGAAAUGAUUAAACCCUACGAGUUAAUAUUAACAAAUACAACAAAAGUUUUAGGGACAGGUGGACCCAUUGUAAUCCCUGACUUUUAGCAUUUGCAGAUAGAAAUGUCAAUUUAAUAGGGAGAAAGCGAUUGAGAGAUUUUUCUCUAAAAUCGAGUUGGGUCAUUGGGGGCAAAGAUUGUAUUCCACGUCUCACUUUAAAUAUAUUUUUAAGAGUUAUUAACUA